rnacentral:rRNA from 1 species
GGUUAAGCGACUAAGCGUACACGGUGGAUGCCCUGGCAGUCAGAGGCGAUGAAGGACGUGCUAAUCUGCGAUAAGCGUCGGUAAGGUGAUAUGAACCGUUAUAACCGGCGAUUUCCGAAUGGGGAAACCCAGUGUGUUUCGACACACUAUCAUUAACUGAAUCCAUAGGUUAAUGAGGCGAACCGGGGGAACUGAAACAUCUAAGUACCCCGAGGAAAAGAAAUCAACCGAGAUUCCCCCAGUAGCGGCGAGCGAACGGGGAGCAGCCCAGAGCCUGAAUCAGUAUGUGUGUUAGUGGAAGCGUCUGGAAAGGCGCGCGAUACAGGGUGACAGCCCCGUACACAAAAAUGCACAUGCUGUGAGCUCGAUGAGUAGGGCGGGACACGUGGUAUCCUGUCUGAAUAUGGGGGGACCAUCCUCCAAGGCUAAAUACUCCUGACUGACCGAUAGUGAACCAGUACCGUGAGGGAAAGGCGAAAAGAACCCCGGCGAGGGGAGUGAAAAAGAACCUGAAACCGUGUACGUACAAGCAGUGGGAGCACGCUUAGGCGUGUGACUGCGUACCUUUUGUAUAAUGGGUCAGCGACUUAUAUUCUGUAGCAAGGUUAACCGAAUAGGGGAGCCGAAGGGAAACCGAGUCUUAACUGGGCGUUAAGUUGCAGGGUAUAGACCCGAAACCCGGUGAUCUAGCCAUGGGCAGGUUGAAGGUUGGGUAACACUAACUGGAGGACCGAACCGACUAAUGUUGAAAAAUUAGCGGAUGACUUGUGGCUGGGGGUGAAAGGCCAAUCAAACCGGGAGAUAGCUGGUUCUCCCCGAAAGCUAUUUAGGUAGCGCCUCGUGAAUUCAUCUCCGGGGGUAGAGCACUGUUUCGGCAAGGGGGUCAUCCCGACUUACCAACCCGAUGCAAACUGCGAAUACCGGAGAAUGUUAUCACGGGAGACACACGGCGGGUGCUAACGUCCGUCGUGAAGAGGGAAACAACCCAGACCGCCAGCUAAGGUCCCAAAGUCAUGGUUAAGUGGGAAACGAUGUGGGAAGGCCCAGACAGCCAGGAUGUUGGCUUAGAAGCAGCCAUCAUUUAAAGAAAGCGUAAUAGCUCACUGGUCGAGUCGGCCUGCGCGGAAGAUGUAACGGGGCUAAACCAUGCACCGAAGCUGCGGCAGCGACACUAUGUGUUGUUGGGUAGGGGAGCGUUCUGUAAGCCUGUGAAGGUGUACUGUGAGGUAUGCUGGAGGUAUCAGAAGUGCGAAUGCUGACAUAAGUAACGAUAAAGCGGGUGAAAAGCCCGCUCGCCGGAAGACCAAGGGUUCCUGUCCAACGUUAAUCGGGGCAGGGUGAGUCGACCCCUAAGGCGAGGCCGAAAGGCGUAGUCGAUGGGAAACAGGUUAAUAUUCCUGUACUUGGUGUUACUGCGAAGGGGGGACGGAGAAGGCUAUGUUGGCCGGGCGACGGUUGUCCCGGUUUAAGCGUGUAGGCUGGUUUUCCAGGCAAAUCCGGAAAAUCAAGGCUGAGGCGUGAUGACGAGGCACUACGGUGCUGAAGCAACAAAUGCCCUGCUUCCAGGAAAAGCCUCUAAGCAUCAGGUAACAUCAAAUCGUACCCCAAACCGACACAGGUGGUCAGGUAGAGAAUACCAAGGCGCUUGAGAGAACUCGGGUGAAGGAACUAGGCAAAAUGGUGCCGUAACUUCGGGAGAAGGCACGCUGAUAUGUAGGUGAAGUCCCUCGCGGAUGGAGCUGAAAUCAGUCGAAGAUACCAGCUGGCUGCAACUGUUUAUUAAAAACACAGCACUGUGCAAACACGAAAGUGGACGUAUACGGUGUGACGCCUGCCCGGUGCCGGAAGGUUAAUUGAUGGGGUCAGCGCAAGCGAAGCUCUUGAUCGAAGCCCCGGUAAACGGCGGCCGUAACUAUAACGGUCCUAAGGUAGCGAAAUUCCUUGUCGGGUAAGUUCCGACCUGCACGAAUGGCGUAAUGAUGGCCAGGCUGUCUCCACCCGAGACUCAGUGAAAUUGAACUCGCUGUGAAGAUGCAGUGUACCCGCGGCAAGACGGAAAGACCCCGUGAACCUUUACUAUAGCUUGACACUGAACAUUGAGCCUUGAUGUGUAGGAUAGGUGGGAGGCUUUGAAGUGUGGACGCCAGUCUGCAUGGAGCCGACCUUGAAAUACCACCCUUUAAUGUUUGAUGUUCUAACGUUGACCCGUGAUCCGGGUUGCGGACAGUGUCUGGUGGGUAGUUUGACUGGGGCGGUCUCCUCCUAAAGAGUAACGGAGGAGCACGAAGGUUGGCUAAUCCUGGUCGGACAUCAGGAGGUUAGUGCAAUGGCAUAAGCCAGCUUGACUGCGAGCGUGACGGCGCGAGCAGGUGCGAAAGCAGGUCAUAGUGAUCCGGUGGUUCUGAAUGGAAGGGCCAUCGCUCAACGGAUAAAAGGUACUCCGGGGAUAACAGGCUGAUACCGCCCAAGAGUUCAUAUCGACGGCGGUGUUUGGCACCUCGAUGUCGGCUCAUCACAUCCUGGGGCUGAAGUAGGUCCCAAGGGUAUGGCUGUUCGCCAUUUAAAGUGGUACGCGAGCUGGGUUUAGAACGUCGUGAGACAGUUCGGUCCCUAUCUGCCGUGGGCGCUGGAGAACUGAGGGGGGCUGCUCCUAGUACGAGAGGACCGGAGUGGACGCAUCACUGGUGUUCGGGUUGUCAUGCCAAUGGCACUGCCCGGUAGCUAAAUGCGGAAGAGAUAAGUGCUGAAAGCAUCUAAGCACGAAACUUGCCCCGAGAUGAGUUCUCCCUGACCCUUUAAGGGUCCUGAAGGAACGUUGAAGACGACGACGUUGAUAGGCCGGGUGUGUAAGCGCAGCGAUGCGUUGAGCUAACCGGUACUAAUGAACCGUGAGGCUUAACCUU